AGGCACAGUCGUUGCCUUCAGAGAACUUACAACCUCGUGCGGAAGGUGAGCUACCACGGACAACUACGAUAGAAGGCACCAGAAGACCAUCCUUAGAAAGUGCGUGAGGAAGCUUAUCUACCACUAGGGAAAGAUCUCCUAGAUCCAUCUUCAGGCAACAGAGAACACACAAUGCAGGACCGUGUUCGUAACAUAUCUCUUUUCAGACCCAGGGAAGCAUCUAAAUGUGGUUCCUGCACUCCUUAUUGACACACUCCCAAGGGCCCAGAUGGUUGUGGAAAGUAACCUAUUUGAUAAAAAGAC